GCCCGGAUGGCGGAACAGGCAGACGCGACGGUCUCAAACACCGUUACCCGAGAGGGUGUGCGGGUUCAAGUCCCGCUCCGGGCA
rnacentral:tRNA from 1 species